rnacentral:rRNA from 1 species
GGGGUGCAACACGAGGACUUCCCAGGAGGUCACCCAUCCUAGUACUACUCUCGCCCAAGCACGCUUACUGCGGAGUUCUGAUGGGAUCCGGU